AAGUCGUAACAAGGUUUCCGUAGGUGACUGCUUGGAGAAACAUUGCCUAUAGAACUACUCGAUUGUAACUGUUCCAAUGUUCGCACGUAGCCAGAGGUCUCUGAAUCACUACAACUUUCCGGGCUAUGAUUUAUCAGAGAUUGCGAACUACGCGGGUUACAAGAGCAGGAUGAAGGUUCACGGGGUUUUAACGUUUGGAUACGUGUUAAUGAUCCUUCCGCAGGUAGUGUCGGAAAGUGUCGUUGAUUGUGCAAGGAUAGCGCUUCUACGAUUCCUGUAGACCGUACACUCGGGCAGGAGCUUUGCCAAAGGGUCCCCAUGCCCCCUAAUAACCCCACAGUUUAAUGUGAAGCUCAAUGUAAUACAUGGGGUAAAAAAACCGAACAACUGUUAACAAUGGAUAUCUUGGUUCUC
rnacentral:misc_RNA from 1 species